GUGCUACUCCCUUCGUUCCGAAUUACUUGUCGCAGGUAUGGAUGUAUCUACAUGUAUUUUAGUUCUAGAUACAUCCAUUUUUGUGACGAGUAAUUUGGAACGGAGGGAGUAGGUA
rnacentral:pre_miRNA from 1 species